ensembl:lncRNA
UUUCUCUUUCUUUCAAAAUGUAUUCUUAAUGCCUGGAAGUGCCCCAGUUCUACCUGGGCAACAGAUGCUACUCUUGCCUUUGAGUAUGGAUUGGUACACUUCCUUCUAUUAAUCCCUCAGCUCUGGAUUAAUCAGUCUACCCCAAUAACUGGGAAAAAGACCACCAGAAAGCACCACGUGCAGAAGAGAUGGAGCAAGAGCAAGAAGAGCUGUACUCUGAAAGGAGCAUCCCACUCAAGACCCUCUCUUCUCCAGUGUGACCUACUUUUCAUUUCUGGCCAGGACAGCCUGAAUGAAGUGGAAGACACUCAGGACCCAGCUUUACUUCUACAAAGUCAUCUACAGGAGUUCUGUGACAAAGGAAGAGUUCAGCAACACUCAAAUGUAGCUGUCUCAGGUGAGGUGUUCAAACCAGGGCCUGCUAGAGCCCACUAGCCACAUGGACACUGCAUGGAAGAUCCUACUCCUACCACCAUGUCCCUGUAGGCUUCCCUGGCUCCUAAGAACCAGCACCUUCUGCCUCUGGCCUCCAGCCCAUCAGGAGGAGCUCAAAAAGACCAGUUCAUCUGCAUGAGAUACCUGCUGGGCAGUGACCCUCAGAGCUUCCUUCCUAGCAACUCCUAUUUACCAUCUCUCAACUCGGCCAUCUCUGGCCCUGUUCACUCUCAAGGUUUCAUUUUGUUCUUCUCAUGGUCAUGUGCAACUGAUAACACCUUACUUUUCACCACCUUGGCACAGGGCAAAGUCCAGCAAGGACAUCAUUCCUAUAACCCACCACGUGCUUUGUUCUGGGGAGACCCCCCCCGCUGGCAAGGAGAGGUUUGGGGCCUCUCUUUCAUCAAGCCAAAUAGCCAGAAGCUGCUGGUGAUACUAAUCACUGAGAGAGUGGAAAUAAUAACCUG